rnacentral:tmRNA from 1 species
GGGGAUGAUCGGUUUCGACGACGGUCGUCGUGCCAGAGGAAGCGGGUCGAGGAUGCAGAGUUAUCUCGAUAACGCCCUCUGCAAACCAAUAGGUGCCGAUUCCAAGCGCACCGACUUCGCCCUCGCCGCCUGAGCGAGCCGCGUAAGUCCGUCAGCCCGGGCUAGCUCUCGACCCGGUUCCUGGCGUCAGCUAGAGAGCCACUGCUCGUAGUCCUUGUCACCGGGGCUACGGGGACUUCCAGGUGACUGAGCCCGUCAGCUGCUUGUCUGCGUGACAGCUGGGGCCGAGAAAAUCGCAGCAGACUGCACCCGGAGAAGCUCUGGUUCUGCGCCGUCGGACGCGGGUUCGAUUCCCGCCAUCUCCACCA